rnacentral:tRNA from 1 species
GCCGAAGUAGCUCAGUUGGUAGAGCAGCUGAUUCGUAAUCAGCAGGUCGUCGGUUCGAGUCCGACUUUCGGCUCCA